rnacentral:rRNA from 1 species
AUUGAACGCUGGCGGCAUGCCUUACACAUGCAAGUCGAACGGCAGCGCGUCCUUCGGGAUGGCGGCGAGUGGCGAACGGGUGAGUAAAGCAUCGGAACGUGCCCGGUAGUGCGGGAUAGCUCGGCGAAAGCCGGAUUAAUACCGCAUGAGAUCUGCGGAUGAAAGCAGGGGACCCGAAAGGGCCUUGCGCUACUGGAGCGGCCGAUGUCAGAUUAGGUAGUUGGUGAGGUAAAGGCUCACCAAGCCUGCGAUCUGUAGCUGGUCUGAGAGGAUGAUCAGCCACAUCGGGACUGAGACACGGCCCGAACUCCUACGGGAGGCAGCAGUGGGGAAUUUUGGACAAUGGGCGCAAGCCUGAUCCAGCCAUGCCGCGUGCAGGAUGAAGGCCUUCGGGUUGUAAACUGCUUUUGUACGGAACGAAAGGCUCUUUCUAAUAAGGAAGUUGAUGACGGUACCGUAAGAAUAAGCACGGCUAACUACGUGCC